AAAGUCGUAACAAGGUUUCCGUAGGUGAACCUGCGGAAGGAUCAUUAUCAAACGUAUCCACGUUUAUAAACCAAACCGUGAACUGUCAUUUAACCUUUGGGCUACGGCCGCUGUGCGUGACGCUUAGGGUUCAUUGUAUGAUUAUGGGCCUGUCACACGCAAUUAAGGCUGUCUCUCCAAAGCGUAUUAAUCAUACGUUUAACAUUAUUAACCACUUGAACUAAAUUCAUUGCAUUGUUUGAGCUGAUUUGUUUCUUACUCACUAACACUGAGAAGAAAUUGAAUUACGAAACAAUUAUAGAACAACUCUUAGCAACGGAUAUCUUGGUUCUC
rnacentral:misc_RNA from 1 species